rnacentral:rRNA from 1 species
UACGUAGGCAGCAAGCGUUGUUCGGAAUUACUGGGCGUAAAGGGCUCGUAGGCGGCCAACUAAGUCAGACGUGAAAUCCCUCGGCUUAACCGGGGAACUGCGUCUGAUACUGGAUGGCUUGAGGUUGGGAGAGGGAUGCGGAAUUCCAGGUGUAGCGGUGAAAUGCGUAGAUAUCUGGAGGAACACCGGUGGCGAAGGCGGCAUCCUGGACCAAUUCUGACGCUGAGGAGCGAAAGCUAGGGGAGCAAACGGG